AGGAUAAUAGUUAAAUAUAACAUUUGGUUUGCAUUCAAAAAGUAUUGAUUAUUCAAUUUAUCUU
rnacentral:tRNA from 1 species